AUUGAACGCUGGCGGCAGGCUUAACACAUGCAAGUCGAGCGAGCGGCGGACGGGUGAGUAAUGUCUGGGGAACUGCCCGAUAGAGGGGGAUAACUACUGGAAACGGUGGCUAAUACCGCAUACUAUCGGAUGUGCCCAUAUGGGAUUAGCUAGUAGGUGGGGUAAAUGCUCACCUAGGCGACGAUCCCUAGCUGGGCUGAGAGGAUGAUCAGCCACACUGGGACUGAGACACGGCCCAGACUACUACGGGAGGCAGCAGUUGGGAAUAUUGCACAAUGGGCGCAAGCCUGAUGCAGCCAUGCCGCGUGUAUGAAGAAGGCCUUAGGGUUGUAAAGGACUUUCAGCGGGGAGGCGUUACUCGCAGAAGAAGCACCGGCUAACUCCGUGCCAGCAGCCGCGGUAAUUC
rnacentral:rRNA from 1 species